UACAGAGGGGGCAAGCGUUGUUCGGAAUUACUGGGCGUAAAGGGCGCGUAGGCGGCCUUCUAAGUCGAACGUGAAAUCCCCGGGCUCAACCCGGGAACUGCGUCCGAUACUGGAAGGCUUGAAUCCGGGAGAGGGAUGCGGAAUUCCAGGUGUAGCGGUGAAAUGCGUAGAUAUCAGGAAGAACACCUAUGGCGAAGGCAGCACUCUGGGACGGUACUGACGCUGAGACGCGAAAGCGUGGGGAGCGAACAGG
rnacentral:rRNA from 1 species